rnacentral:rRNA from 1 species
CACGGGGAGGUAGUGACGAAAAAUAACGAUACGGGACUCAUCCGAGGCCCCGUAAUCGGAAUGAGUACACUCUAAAUCCUUUAACGAGGAUCAAUUGGAGGGCAAGUCUGGUGCCAGCAGCCGCGGUAAUUCCAGCUCCAAUAGCGUAUAUUAAAGUUGUUGCGGUUAAAAAGCUCGUAGUCGAAUCUGUGUCCCGCGCCGCCGGUUCAUCGCUCGCGGUGUCAAACUGGCGUGUCCGCGGGACGUCCUGCCGGUGAGCUUAGCCCGCAAGGGCGGCUCAACUGCAAAUCCCAUCGCGGUGCUCUUCAUUGAGUGUCGAGGUGGGCCGGCACGUUUACUUUGAACAAAUUAGAGUGCUUAAAGCAGGCUAAAACUUCGCCUGAAUACUGUGUGCAUGGAAUAAUGGAAUAGGACCUCGGUUCUAUUUUGUUGGUUUUCGGAACCCCGAGGUAAUGAUUAAUAGGAACGGAUGGGGGCAUUCGUAUUGCGACGUUAGAGGUGAAAUUCUUGGAUCGUCGCAAGACGGACAGAAGCGAAAGCAUUUGCCAAAAACGCUUUCAUUGAUCAAGAACGAAAGUUAGAGGUUCGAAGGCGAUCAGAUACCGCCCUAGUUCUAACCAUAAACGAUGCCAGCCAGCGAUCCGCCGACGUUCCUCCGAUGACUCGGCGGGCAGCUUCCGGGAAACCAAAGCUUUUGGGUUCCGGGGGAAGUAUGGUUGCAAAGCUGAAACUUAAAGGAAUUGACGGAAGGGCACCACCAGGAGUGGAGCCUGCGGCUUAAUUUGACUCAACACGGGAAACCUCACCAGGCCC